CGACCGGAGACGGCGCCUUCAGUUCGGCUGGACAGAUCACAGGUGCUGCAUGGCUGUCGUCAGCUCGUGUCGUGAGAUGUUCGGUUAAGUCCGGCAACGAGCGCAACCCACUUCUUUAGUUGCCAUCAUUUAGUUGGGCACUCUAGAGAAACUGCCGAUGAUAAGUCGGAGGAAGGUGUGGAUGACGUCAAGUCCUCAUGGCCCUUACGGGUUGGGCUACACACGUGCUACAAUGGCAGUGACAAUGGGUUAAUCCCCAAAAACUGUCUCAGUUCGGAUUGUCCUCUGCAACUCGAGGGCAUGAAGUCGGAAUCGCUAGUAAUCGCGUAACAGCAUGACGCGGUGAAUA
rnacentral:rRNA from 1 species